rnacentral:rRNA from 1 species
CUACGGGUGGCAGCAGUGGGGAAUAUUGCACAAUGAGCGAAAGCUUGAUGCAGCCAUACCGCGUGUGUGAAGAAGGCCCGAGGGUUGUAAAGCACUUUCAAUUGUGAGGAAGGUUCAGUAGUUAAUACCUGCUGUUCUUGACGUUAACUUUAGAAGAAGCACCGGCUAACUCUGUGCCAGCAGCCGCGGUAAUACAGAGGGUGCAAGCGUUAUUCGGAAUUACUGGGCGUAAAGCGCGCGUAGGCGGACUAUUAAGUCAGUUGUGAAAGCCCUGGGCUCAACUGGGAACUGCAUCUGAUACUGGUAGUCUAGAGUUUAAGAGAGGGAAGUGGAAUUCCAGGUGUAGCAGUGAAAUGCGUAGAUAUCUGGAGGAACAUCAGUGGCGAAGGCGACUUCCUGGCUUAAAACUGACGCUGAGGUGCGAAAGCGUGGGCAGCGAACGGGAUUAGAUACCCGAGUAGUC